UCAUCUUCUAUUUUUCUUCAUCCUCUCUACAACAAUAUAGCUAUAACCCCUUAUUACUCCUCCUAAAUCUCCAUAUAGUUCAAUAUUUUUUAAAAAAUAAUUAAAUAUGGGAUUUGGGAGGUCUUUUCUUAAGGGAAUUCACUUUGGUGAAAAAAGUAAAUCAAGAAAAACCAAAAUUGUUGAAAGUAGUAAUAUCACUACUACUACUUAUGUGUGUAGAGAUGAGUUAGAUAAAAAGAAGCCUAAAAUCAAGAAACAAGUGAAAUUUGAUUUAGAACCAAAAUAUCAUCCAUCAAAAGAAGAAGAGGAAAACGAAAAGAAUAAUACUUUCGAGAAAAAUACAAUUACUCAAGAGGAGGAAACAAAAGUACAAGAAGGUGUUAAUAUUGCAAAUAAUGACGGAGUUAUAAAAGUAAAAAUCUUGAUGAAAAAAGAAGAUGCUGCGAGACUUUUGAUAAAGUAUAGAAAUGGAGGGGCUCUUGAGUUUAUGGAUGUUGCUCAACAACUUGUACAAGUUCCUUCUAGUAGUGUUAAAGUUCUUUAAUUUCUUCUCUUAGUCAAUAGUUAGGGGUGGCAGUGGAGUGGGGCGAGAAGAAUGUAUAGUGAGUUAGUUUUAUUGUUCAUAAUUUUCAACCCGCUUCGUUAUUAAGAGCCCUUGAGUUUUUUUUUUCCCUAUGAUUAUUCAUGAAUAUUUUUUACUCAAGCCUCUAGGAGGUAUACUUGAGUUUAUUUUGUACCUAACUUUAUGUAAUAACAUUGAUUGAUAAUUUUAGAAUAAAGGAUAAAUAACUUGUUAUAUUA